rnacentral:piRNA from 1 species
UGGAAGAAGAAUUCUGUCCCUCUUAGAGC